rnacentral:lncRNA from 1 species
AAAACAGUCAUCUGAUACUCAUGCAGAAGAGGUAGGCAGCACAGACAGAUCGUAAACCUGUGGUACUCCCAGCUCUCUACUGUGCCAGUGACAUAUCCACAACUUUUGAGAAAUCAUCUCCAAUAAGCAAGAUCGUCUUUAAGUAGAGUGCUGAAGAUCCAGUCCUACAUUUUCAAGACCAUAUAAUUGAGGUAUUUUAUGAUAUAAAUAUAAUUCACAGAUU